rnacentral:rRNA from 1 species
GACGAACGCUGGCGGCGUGCUUAACACAUGCAAGUCGAACGGAAAGGCCCUGCUUUUGUGGGGUGCUCGAGUGGCGAACGGGUGAGUAACACGUGAGUAACCUGCCCUUGACUUUGGGAUAACUUCAGGAAACUGGGGCUAAUACCGGAUAGGAGCUCCUGCUGCAUGGUGGGGGUUGGAAAGUUUCGGCGGUUGGGGAUGGACUCGCGGCUUAUCAGCUUGUUGGUGGGGUAGUGGCUUACCAAGGCUUUGACGGGUAGCCGGCCUGAGAGGGUGACCGGGCACGGUGGGGCGGAGAGCGGGCGCCGGUGGGUAGGGGGGGGGGGGGUGGGGAAUAUGGAACGGCGGGAGGGAGAGGGAGGCGGGGGCGGCGGGGGGGCGGAGAGGGGGUUUGGGUUGGAAGCCGCAGGCGCGGGUGAGGGGGGGUGGGCAGCGGAAAGGAGUAAGGACGCACCGGCUAAGGAGGUGCAAGCAGACGAGUGAAUAAGGGGAAGCCAACACGUCUUAUC